UACGUAGGGCGCAAGCGUUGUCCGGAAUUAUUGGGCGUAAAGAGCUCGUAGGCGGUCUGUUGCGUCUGCCGUGAAAACCCGAGGCUUAACCUCGGGCCUGCGGUGGAUACGGGCAGGCUUGAGUUCGGUAGGGGAGACUGGAAUUCCUGGUGUAGCGGUGAAAUGCGCAGAUAUCAGGAGGAACACCGGUGGCGAAGGCGGGUCUCUGGGCCGAUACUGACGCUGAGGAGCGAAAGCGUGGGGAGCGAACAGG
rnacentral:rRNA from 1 species